rnacentral:lncRNA from 1 species
CAGUGAUGUAGGCAAGGAGAGGUGAGAGUGGCCCUCUCGGCAGCUCCCAAGGACUUGAACUGCUGCCCCUGAGUCUCAAGGGAGGGAAAAUGCGGUGCUGAAGUAACUUUGACCUGGGCCUUGUAAUCCAGGUGACAGUGCCCUUCCUCAGCUGUGUCCACCACUUCUGUAGCUUGCGGAAGGGGUUUGGCUGUAGGCAGAGAAACGGGAAGAGCCGUGACCUCCUUUUAUCUGGAGCAUGCCAGGUGACACUUUGCGUUUGUUGCCUGAGCUUUGAGAGUUGGGGGCUACAGCUGCAGGAAGCUGGCGUUUACUGAGAGCAGAAAUUCACAUCUAGGCGAAUCAGGCUGCCCAAGCUGUAGCAGUAGCCACUGCAUUUUGGCAGCAACCUGGCUUCCAUGAAGUUUCUUUGUAUUGGAGCGUCUUUUACCUAGCAGCAGACAGUGUCUUCCUGUGCUCAGGGUGGCCUAGAACUGCCUGUGCUCUGGCCUCAGUUUUAAGGUGCCGGGUUACACGUGCAAUGCCACCAAGCCUGGCUUGAAAUGUUUUGAUGGGAUAGUUGUGAAAUACCUAUUUGAUUUUCUUCCAUCUUGGCAGUAAGCCCUGAAAUGAGUGGAGCCUCUGAACUAGCUGGCCUUGAACUUGAACUGCCUAUGUUUCCCAAGGGGUGCGAUGUCAGGCUUGUGCUGUCACGACCAGUUCUUUUGAAGAUUUGUGUUGUGAUGUUUGGUUUGCAGUGUUUCUUGUAAGUGCUUAAAACAAAACAGCUGGGUGGUGGCGGCGGCAGUGGUGCCAGCGGCGGCAGCGGCGGCAGCGGUGGCGCACACCUUUAAUCCCAGCACUUGGAAGGCAGAGGCAGGUGGAUCUCUGUGAGUUCAAGGCCAGCCUGGUCUACAGAGCAAGUUCCAGGCUCUAAAGCUACACAGAGAAACUCUUUAUCUUGAAGAGCCAAAAAACAAACAAAACAAAACAAGAAAAAAGAAAGAAAGAAGCUCAAACAGAAAAAACAGGCUUUUAUUUUUCUCUCACCUUAAAAAACACAAAACUAAAACACAGUGAACCCUCUAAGUUGUAAAGUUUUUUUAUUCAUAUGUAAGUGUGUCUGGAUGUGUGUGUUUAUGUGCACCAUGUGAACACCGGUGCCCUUGGAAGCCAGAUGAUAUCAGAGUCCCUCAAAAUCUGGAGCUGCCAGAUUUUAUGCUGGGGACCAGACCUGAAUCCUCUGUAAGACCAGUCAUUCUCAACCACUCAUCCAUUUCUCUAACCCCCAAUUUAAAGAAAAUAAAUCCUAUCCCUU